GCCGGGCAUGGUGGCUCAUGCCUGUAAUCCCAGCAUUUUGGGAGGCUGAGGCGGGUGGAUCCCUUGAGGUCAGGAGUUCGAGACCAGCCUGGCCAACAUGGCGAAACCCCGUCUCUA
rfam:Homo sapiens chromosome 5, GRCh38 reference primary assembly.